UACAGAGGGGGCAAGCGUUGUUCGGAAUUACUGGGCGUAAAGGGCGCGUAGGUGGCCUUCUAAGUUGAACGUGAAAUCCCUGGGCUCAACCCAGGAACUGCGUCCAAGACUGGGAGGCUUGAAUCCGGGAGAGGGAUGCGGAAUUCCAGGUGUAGCGGUGAAAUGCGUAGAUAUCUGGAGGAACACCGGUGGCGAAGGCGGCGUUCUGGACUGCAUCUGACACUGAAAGACGAAAGCCAGGGGAGCAAACGGG
rnacentral:rRNA from 1 species